UGUAUAAUAAUAGUAAAACAUGUAAUUAUAUAUAUGAAGUAUGUGAUAUAGCAGAUAAAUCUUUAGUUUUUGCAACAAGUCCAGUUAUUAAUACAACUACAAAAAAUAUAUUAAGUAUAACGAAGAGUGGGAAAAAAAGACAGGAUUUUGUUGAAGAAGAUGGAAGAAGAGAAGGAGGAAGUGAAGAAGUAAAAAGAAGUGAAGAAGNNNNNNNNNNGAAGUGAAGAAGUAAAAAGAAGUGAAGAAGAGGAAGAAGAAAAUGAAUUAAUGAUAGAAGAUGAGAUAUGGCAAAUAUAUAUAUCGAAAAUGAUAAAACAAAUAAAUGAUGAAUGGUUAUUACUUUUUAUCAAUGAAGAAUUAAAAAAUAUAAUAAAUAAAUCAGAAGAUAUAUAUUUUAAAAUGUUUAAUAAAUAUAUUAAAGAAUAUAAUGAAUAUAUAAAAACUCAUAGUUAUACAAUAACAAAUGAACAAAAUACAAUGGUUAAUAAUAAUAUGAGAAAUAUGUAUAAAGGUGGUACAUCUCAUAGUGAUACUCAUGAAUAUGAAUUAAGUAGUGCUUAUAAAAAUUUAAUGUCAGAUAAAAUAAAAAAAUAUAAAAUAAAUUUAAUUUAUUCUGAAAAUAAAGAUAUUAAUUAUAUUAUAUAUAAAUUAUGUUUGGAUAUGGGGAUUUUAAAUGAUGCAGUUUUAUGUACUAAAAAUAAAACAUUUAAUAUUUUAAUGAAUGAUAUUGACGGUACAUUAGCAAUAUGUUUAAAAACUUUUUUAUCUAAAUAUUAUCAUGACGCCUUAACAUUAACAAAUAAUAAAACAGAAGGACAAAAUGGUUUCGUUUCUUCAAACUUAAACACAACGAAUGAAAACAAAUUAAAACAGUAUGAUGAAGAGGAUUUAAUUAAAACAUUAUCUAUUAUGGGAUUAUGUAAAGAAAAAAUAGUUUUAACUGAAAAAGCAACUAUAUUUAACGACAUUGAAUUAUUAUUUUCAUACUAUUUGAUUGUGAAUAAUGAAACACUUCUUAUAGAUAAUAGUUCAGUAAGUUCUACUACAGAUAGUAACGGGAUUGAUUAUAAUGAUGAUGGAGUGAUAUACAUAAGUGAAGAAGCACUUUUUAAGAAUUUACAAUUUUCUAAUGAAGAGAUUUGUAGUUAUUUAUUACAUUUACAAAAAUAUAGUAUGAAUAAUUUAUUAUAUAUAAAAAAUAAAGGAUUUAGAUACUUAAAAAAUGAAAUAAUGUAUGAAUUUUUAAUAAAAUUAAUAGAACUAAUUAGUAUUAAUGAUGUAUUAUAUGAAAAUAUAUAUAUUGAAAAAAGUAAAAGUAAAAAUAAAUAUUUUAAAAAAUAUCAAAAAGAAUUACGUUCUGUAUUAAAAAAAAGAUAUGGUAUACCUAUUAUAAGUAUUUUAAAUUUAGUAAAUGAAAAUUUAAAUGAUUUUGAAUUUUUAAAAAGAAAUAAAAUACCAAUAGAAGGUUAUGUUAUUUUACAAUUAUGUUGGAAUUGUUGUGAUAUUCAAAAUGUUAAUUUUGAAUAUUUUAAUAUUUUUUAUAAUUAUUAUUUUUUUUAUGCGUAUCUAAAUAGUGAUCCAGGUUCUGGUUGUGGUUCUUGCUCGAAUGAAUUAUCAUACGAACAUAUGUUUAAAGAAUUUAUGAAUUUUAUAAACAAUGAACAAUAUAUUAACGAAACUAUAAUUAGUUUCAAUUUAUUUAAACUUCAUAGUAUUAUGUCAUUAAAUAUUUUAAGAUCUAAUGGGAAAAUUGUAAUACAUUCAGAUAAAUUAUUUACAUUUGAAAUGGAUAUGUUUCGAUAUAUAAAAUAUAUUGAUGAGAAUUUUCAAAGCUUUAAUUCUAAUUUUAUGAAUAAAAUUAUACAAGAUUUUAUAAGAAUGUAUACUUUUUUUUUAGAUUAUGGUUAUGAAAAAGAAAAUGUUACUUUAAAUGGUGGUAAUAACAAUAUACAAGGUAAUAACAACAUACAGGGUGAUGACGAUGAUGAUGAUGGUGGUGACGACAGUAAUGAAUUAAUUUCUGCAAGUAGUUAUAAAAAUAGAGUAGUUUAUAAAAAUAACAAAAUUUUAAAUGUCAAUAAUAUAAAUCAUAUAUGUAAUAAUACAACUAUGUUUGAAUAUUUUAUUGUUACUAAAUAUUAUUAUUACGAAAAUAAUUUUUCCCUAU
rnacentral:lncRNA from 1 species